CAACCCUCAAGCUCAGCUUGGUAUUGGAUGUCACCUGGCAAUGGUGCAUCUUAAAAUCAGUGGCGGUGCCAUCUGGCUUCAAGUGUAGUAAUUCUCUCGCUUUGGAAGUUUAGGUGUAUUCUUGCCAUCAACUUCUAAUUUUUCAAA
rnacentral:misc_RNA from 1 species